rnacentral:lncRNA from 1 species
UGAAGAUGAUACCCGGAUAAAAUGCAUAAAAAUUACAAAAAAAUAUAUAGCGAGGAAAUGCAUUCAUUAUUAUUUUAUAAUCUGUGGUGGUGGUUUGUUAUUAAAGUGUAGUACUAGGUCAUGUAUACCCAAAUAUUGUUAAUAAUUACUUUGUACACUCAGUGAUGAGCAAACAUUAUUAGUUAUACUUAUCUAUUAGUAUUUAAAUAAAAUAAAUUAUCCCCUAUAGUGCUCGUAGUUUUAUUCUCAUGUGUUUCCCCAAGGAUCCACUUUUGUAUGAAAUAUUUACAGUAAGUAAAUACACAACACACUAAUGUAAUGUAUUUUGAUAAGUCUUAUCUUCUCGGAUAACGACGAUUGUUAUAACCGUGUAAUGAAUUAUAUCGUCCACAUUGCUCUAGCUGCGUUCAUGGAUUUCUCUCGGACUUUUGAUACAUUCGACUCACAAAUGGCUACAGAGGCAUGAGAUCCCUUACCCCGGGUACUGCAGGGCUCCAGGGAGCAACAUUUGUCUGCCUCAACUGUGCAAUUGUGAUAUACUAAAGAAAAGAUGGGAAGAUUCACAGAAACAAAAAGAAAAUAAAAAGCCAAAUAUGAAAUUCAAAAAACGACCACGGAAAAAUAAACUUGGCAAGGGAGUGUCUGGGUAAUUUUUAUAUUUUGUUUUUUAUACUUGUAUUAUUUAAUUUGAAAAUUAUAUUAAAAGUUUAUGCAAA